rnacentral:rRNA from 1 species
UACGUAGGUGGCAAGCGUUGUCCGGAUUUAUUGGGCGUAAAGCGAGCGCGGGCGGUUCUUUAAGUCUGAUGUGAAAGCCCCCGGCUCAACCGAGGAGGGUCAUUGGAAACUGGAGAACUUGAGUGCAGAAGAGGAGAGUGGAAUUCCACGUGUAGCGGUGAAAUGCGUAGAUAUGUGGAGGAACACCAGUGGCGAAGGCGACUCUCUGGUCUGUAACUGACGCUGAGGCUCGAAAGCGUGGGGAGCAAACAGG